AAAGAACGCUGGCGGCAUGCUUAACACAUGCAAGUCGAACGGAUAAAGUUUCUAGCUUGCUAGGAAUUUUAUUAGUGGCAAACGGGUGAGUAACACGUAGGAAUCUCCCCUAUAGCACGGAAUAACAAUUGGAAACGAUUGCUAAUACCGUAUACGCUCUUCGGAGGAAAGAUUUAUCACUAUAGAAUGAGCCUGCGCUA
rnacentral:rRNA from 1 species